UAUGGUAAUUGGUGCAGCCGCGGUAAUACGUAGGUGGCGAGCGUUAUCCGGAAUUAUUGGGCGUAAAGAGCGCGCAGGUGGUUGAUUAAGUCUGAUGUGAAAGCCCACGGCUUAACCGUGGAGGGUCAUUGGAAACUGGUCGACUUGAGUGCAGAAGAGGGAAGUGGAAUUCCAUGUGUAGCGGUGAAAUGCGUAGAGAUAUGGAGGAACACCAGUGGCGAAGGCGGCUUCCUGGUCUGUAACUGACACUGAGGCGCGAAAGCGUGGGGAGCAAACAGG
rnacentral:rRNA from 1 species